rnacentral:lncRNA from 1 species
UCCAUGAAGUUUAUAGCAUUUUUCAAUCAGGUGUCCAGGUUUCUUACAAUACCUACACACUAGGUUUGCUCUAUUGGGAUCAAAAUUGAGUCUUGGGCUGAAUUUUUUAGGGUAACCAGCUGCUGUGGGAAAUCUUGUGAUUGAGGGUUUGUUGCUGAAAUGAGCAUUGAAGGCACUCGAAUCAUGAUGAAAUUGAGAAGGUGAAGAUACUU